AUGCACAAGCUACUGCAACUACGCCAAACAGGCAGCAUCGCCGAGUACUGCGCCGCGUUCGACGAAAAGAUGUACCACCUGCUCGCGCUUGAUCCGUCGAUCAACACCAAAUUCUUCGUGACGCAGUUCCUCCUCGGCCUAAAGGACGAGCUGCGCGCCCCGGUGCGCCUCCAGGCACCCUCCAGCAUCACGCGUGCCUCGGUGCUCACACGCAUCCAGGAGGAAGAAUUGGGCACGACACGCGUGCGCCCUCGCAUCACUCCGGCGGGUCGACCACCCCCAACAGCAGCAGCAGUGGCAACACCACAGCGCGCCGCGGCCGCGCCGAUCCGCGCCCAAGGAGAUGAGUACGCGCGGGAGCGGCAGCUGCGCGAUUUCCGUCGGGCGAACAACCUUUGCUUCAAGUGCGGGGAUCGCUACUCCAGAGAGCAUCGAUGCGCCCAACCCGCGCAGCUGCUCACUAUCAACGUGGGUGACCACGGUGAGGUGCUCUCGGACGACACCAUCCACGCCCUGCAGUUGCUCGACGACCCGGGCCCAGCGGCGCAACCCCCUGCUCAGGCCGUGGACGUGCCAGAGUGCUACCUCCUCUCGUCGCAGGCGCUCGACGGCACAGAUUCGGCGACCACGAUCAGGUUGCGCGCGCUGGUGGGGAACCAGGUCAUGCUCCUACUGCUCGACUCGGGUAGUACCCACAGCUUCGUCAACAAGGCGUUUGCCGAUCGCCUCGGCCUCGCCACGGAAGAGAUGCCGCCGACAGAGGUGCGCGUAGCCAACGGCGACAAACUGACCUGCAACCGCAUGGUGCUCGGCCUCAAGUGGUGGAUGCAGGGCCACACCUUCGCGACGCCCAUGCGCGAGCUAGGGAUCGGAGCGUACGAUGGUAUUCUGGGGAUGGACUGGCUCGCCCAGCACAGUCCAAUGACGUGCCAUUGGCAGGACAAGUGGGUGAAGUUCCAGCACGACGGCGAAGAAGUCACACUGCGCAGCGUCCCAACCAAGCCGACCACCACGCUCAAGGCAGUCGGACCCGACGAGCUGCGCAAGAUGAUCGCCGGGAACGAUGUCUGGGCCAUGGCCAUGGUGGACACCUGCGGCCCCGCAUCGCGCCCAGUUCGCAAAUGCCCAAGUCAAACUCCGCUCGCCGACCUGCUCGAGGAAUUCGUCGACGUGUUCACGGCACCGCAAGGGCUCCCUCCUCACCGCCAGUACGACCACGCCGUCACGCUGGUGGAGGGCGCGGUCCCAGCGAACACGCGCCCAUACCGCUACUCGCCGCUCCAGAAGGACGAGAUCGAGCGACAUGUCAAGGAGAUGCUGGACUCCGGAGUGAUCACGCACAGCGUCAGUCCCUACGCCGCGCCGGUGUUGCUCGUGAAGAAGAAGGACGACACCUGGAGAUUCUGCGUCGACUACCGCCGCCUCAACGACGCCACCGUCAAGAACAGGUUUCCCCUGCCCAUCAUCGACGAGCUGCUCGACGAACUGGCCGGCGCCGCAGUGUUCUCCAAACUAGACUUGCGGGCAGGAUACCAUCAGAUCAGGAUGCGUGAGGAGGACGAAUCCAAGACGGCGUUCAAGACACAUCAUGGGCAUUUCCAGUUCAGGGUCAUGCCGUUCGGCCUCACGAACGCGCCCGCCACUUUUUAG
rnacentral:rRNA from 1 species